rnacentral:rRNA from 1 species
GUACGUACAAGCAGUGGGAGCACAGGUUUACCUGUGUGACUGCGUACCUUUUGUAUAAUGGGUCAGCGACUUAUAUUCUGUAGCAAGGUUAACCGUAUAGGGGAGCCGUAGGGAAACCGAGUCUUAAUUGGGCGUUAAGUUGCAGGGUAUAGACCCGAAACCCGGUGAUCUAGCCAUGGGCAGGUUGAAGGUUGGGUAACACUAACUGGAGGACCGAACCGACUAAUGUUGAAAAAUUAGCGGAUGACCUGUGGCU